rnacentral:rRNA from 1 species
AAAUUGAAGAGUUUGAUCAUGGCUCAGAUUGAACGCUGGCGGCAGGCCUAACACAUGCAAGUCGAGCGGUAACACAGGGAGCUUGCUCCCGGGUGACGAGCGGCGGACGGGUGAGUAAUGUCUGGGAAACUGCCUGAUGGAGGGGGAUAACUACUGGAAACGGUAGCUAAUACCGCAUAACGUCGCAAGACCAAAGAGGGGGACCUUCGGGCCUCUUGCCAUCAGAUGUGCCCAGAUGGGAUUAGCUAGUAGGUGGGGUAAUGGCUCACCUAGGCGACGAUCCCUAGCUGGUCUGAGAGGAUGACCAGCCACACUGGAACUGAGACACGGUCCAGACUCCUACGGGAGGCAGCAGUGGGGAAUAUUGCACAAUGGGCGCAAGCCUGAUGCAGCCAUGCCGCGUGUAUGAAGAAGGCCUUCGGGUUGUAAAGUACUUUCAGCGGGGAGGAAGGUGUUGAGGUUAAUAACCUCAGCAAUUGACGUUACCCGCAGAAGAAGCACCGGCUAACUCCGUGCCAGCAGCCGCGGUAAUACGGAGGGUGCAAGCGUUAAUCGGAAUUACUGGGCGUAAAGCGCACGCAGGCGGUCUGUCAAGUCGGAUGUGAAAUCCCCGGGCUCAACCUGGGAACUGCAUUCGAAACUGGCAGGCUAGAGUCUUGUAGAGGGGGGUAGAAUUCCAGGUGUAGCGGUGAAAUGCGUAGAGAUCUGGAGGAAUACCGGUGGCGAAGGCGGCCCCCUGGACAAAGACUGACGCUCAGGUGCGAAAGCGUGGGGAGCAAACAGGAUUAGAUACCCUGGUAGUCCACGCCGUAAACGAUGUCGACUUGGAGGUUGUGCCCUUGAGGCGUGGCUUCCGGAGCUAACGCGUUAAGUCGACCGCCUGGGGAGUACGGCCGCAAGGUUAAAACUCAAAUGAAUUGACGGGGGCCCGCACAAGCGGUGGAGCAUGUGGUUUAAUUCGAUGCAACGCGAAGAACCUUACCUACUCUUGACAUCCAGAGAACUUAGCAGAGAUGCUUUGGUGCCUUCGGGAACUCUGAGACAGGUGCUGCAUGGCUGUCGUCAGCUCGUGUUGUGAAAUGUUGGGUUAAGUCCCGCAACGAGCGCAACCCUUAUCCUUUGUUGCCAGCGGUUAGGCCGGGAACUCAAAGGAGACUGCCAGUGAUAAACUGGAGGAAGGUGGGGAUGACGUCAAGUCAUCAUGGCCCUUACGAGUAGGGCUACACACGUGCUACAAUGGCGCAUACAAAGAGAAGCGACCUCGCGAGAGCAAGCGGACCUCAUAAAGUGCGUCGUAGUCCGGAUUGGAGUCUGCAACUCGACUCCAUGAAGUCGGAAUCGCUAGUAAUCGUAGAUCAGAAUGCUACGGUGAAUACGUUCCCGGGCCUUGUACACACCGCCCGUCACACCAUGGGAGUGGGUUGCAAAAGAAGUAGGUAGCUUAACCUUCGGGAGGGCGCUUACCACUUUGUGAUUCAUGACUGGGGUGAAGUCGUAACAAGGUAACCGUAGGGGAACCUGCGGUUGGAUCACCUCCUUACCUUAAAGAA